AAAUUGAAGAGUUUGAUCAUGGCUCAGAUUGAACGCUGGCGGCAGGCCUAACACAUGCAAGUCGAACGGUAACAGGAAGCAGCUUGCUGCUUCGCUGACGAGUGGCGGACGGGUGAGUAAUGUCUGGGAAACUGCCUGAUGGAGGGGGAUAACUACUGGAAACGGUGGCUAAUACCGCAUAACGUCGCAAGACCAAAGAGGGGGACCUUCGGGCCUCUUGCCAUCAGAUGUGCCCAGAUGGGAUUAGCUUGUUGGUGAGGUAACGGCUCACCAAGGCGACGAUCCCUAGCUGGUCUGAGAGGAUGACCAGCCACACUGGAACUGAGACACGGUCCAGACUCCUACGGGAGGCAGCAGUGGGGAAUAUUGCACAAUGGGCGCAAGCCUGAUGCAGCCAUGCCGCGUGUAUGAAGAAGGCCUUCGGGUUGUAAAGUACUUUCAGCGGGGAGGAAGGUGUUGUGGUUAAUAACCGCAGCAAUUGACGUUACCCGCAGAAGAAGCACCGGCUAACUCCGUGCCAGCAGCCGCGGUAAUACGGAGGGUGCAAGCGUUAAUCGGAAUUACUGGGCGUAAAGCGCACGCAGGCGGUCUGUCAAGUCGGAUGUGAAAUCCCCGGGCUCAACCUGGGAACUGCAUUCGAAACUGGCAGGCUUGAGUCUUGUAGAGGGGGGUAGAAUUCCAGGUGUAGCGGUGAAAUGCGUAGAGAUCUGGAGGAAUACCGGUGGCGAAGGCGGCCCCCUGGACAAAGACUGACGCUCAGGUGCGAAAGCGUGGGGAGCAAACAGGAUUAGAUACCCUGGUAGUCCACGCCGUAAACGAUGUCUACUUGGAGGUUGUGCCCUUGAGGCGUGGCUUCCGGAGCUAACGCGUUAAGUAGACCGCCUGGGGAGUACGGCCGCAAGGUUAAAACUCAAAUGAAUUGACGGGGGCCCGCACAAGCGGUGGAGCAUGUGGUUUAAUUCGAUGCAACGCGAAGAACCUUACCUGGUCUUGACAUCCACAGAAGAAUCCGAGAGAUGGAUUUGUGCCUUCGGGAACUGUGAGACAGGUGCUGCAUGGCUGUCGUCAGCUCGUGUUGUGAAAUGUUGGGUUAAGUCCCGCAACGAGCGCAACCCUUAUCCUUUGUUGCCAGCGGUUAGGCCGGGAACUCAAAGGAGACUGCCAGUGAUAAACUGGAGGAAGGUGGGGAUGACGUCAAGUCAUCAUGGCCCUUACGACCAGGGCUACACACGUGCUACAAUGGCGCAUACAAAGAGAAGCGACCUCGCGAGAGCAAGCGGACCUCAUAAAGUGCGUCGUAGUCCGGAUUGGAGUCUGCAACUCGACUCCAUGAAGUCGGAAUCGCUAGUAAUCGUGGAUCAGAAUGCCACGGUGAAUACGUUCCCGGGCCUUGUACACACCGCCCGUCACACCAUGGGAGUGGGUUGCAAAAGAAGUAGGUAGCUUAACCUUCGGGAGGGCGCUUACCACUUUGUGAUUCAUGACUGGGGUGAAGUCGUAACAAGGUAACCGUAGGGGAACCUGCGGUUGGAUCACCUCCUUA
rnacentral:rRNA from 1 species